GACGAACGCUGGCGGCGUGCCUAACACAUGCAAGUCGAGCGAGUGAAUCUCCUUCGGGAGUGAAGCUAGCGGCGGACGGGUGAGUAACACGUGGGCAACCUGCCUCAUAGAGGGGAAUAGCCUUUCGAAAAGAAGAUUAAUACCGCAUAAGAUUGUAGCUUCGCAUGAAGUAGCAAUUAAAGGAGCAAUCCGCUAUGAGAUGGGCCCGCGGCGCAUUAGCUAGUUGGGGGGGUAACGGCUCACCAAGGCAACGAUGCGUAGCCGACCUGAGAGGGUGAUCGGCCACAUUGGGACUGAGACACGGCCCAGACUCCUACGGGAGGCAGCAGUGGGGAAUAUUGCACAAUGGGGGAAACCCUGAUGCAGCAACGCCGCGUGAGUGAUGACGGCCUUCGGGUUGUAAAGCUCUGUCUUCAGGGACGAUAAUGACGGUACCUGAGGAGGAAGCCACGGCUAACUACGUGCCAGCCGCCGCCGUAACAC
rnacentral:rRNA from 1 species